CUGAAGUGAAUUUAGCCCUCUUUAAUGGCGUCCAACUGACAGCCUGGCCAGGGCAGUGGCAGUGCAAGCAUGCCCUACAAUGCCCCACUGAAGUACUUAAUCUCUGACCUGAAGGGAACACCAUUUGAGGUGAGAGUACUUGGUCUCCAUGCCCAUUCAAUGCUUAACCUCU
ensembl:misc_RNA